UGUCUCUCACUGAACUUGGAGCUCACUGAUUGGGUAGACUUGCUGGUUAGAGAGCUGAGGAAUCCUCUCUACCCCUUCCCACACUGGGAUUACAGAGAGAAUCCCAUCAUCAACUGUGCUCAGUGGAAUGGAUGGAUGCACCUAACUAUUGGAUGAAAUAAAGUCCUACCAUCAAAAGAGGCUGAGAGACAGUUGAGACACCCAGUAAGGAAGAGGAGACUUCCUCACAGCGAUUUUCCCCCAUCUCUGGAUGCUAAACAAGCUGUGACAUAUUGUAUCCUGGGCAUUUCUUGUAAAGCAUCCUGUCAGAUCUGUAUCUUGGAGACUUUAUGGAGCAGGAAGGCAUCUUCUUGGAGCUGGGGGCUCACUUUGAUGAAGAACAUCCCCUUGAAAUCCAGACUAGACCAGAGGCUAACCCUAACGGCACAUACUACAAGUACCUUAACUCUUUGGGGAUAUAUCUCUUUGACAUA